GGGCAGUUGACCGAUUGGUAAUGGUGGUUCUCUGUAAAAGAAUUGGUUUAUCCACUAGAGGUUCGAUUCCUUUACUGCUCA